GCUCAAAUUUGAAAUCUCACAGGUUUUCCUGUGCGAAUUGUAGUUUAUAGAAACGUCUUCGGGGGUGGCUUGGGCAUAAGUCCUUUGGAACGAGGCAUCAUAGAGGGUGAGAAUCCCGUCUUUGGUCCAAAGUCCGCUCCUAUGUGAUGCGUUUUCUAAGAGUCGGUUUGUUUGGGAAUGCAGACCAAAACGGGUGGUAAAUACCAUCUAAAGCUAAAUAUUGGCGAGAGACCGAUAGCGAACAAGUACCGUGAGGGAAAGAUGAAAAGAACUUUGAAAAGAGAGUUAAACAGUACGUGAAAUUGUCAAAAGGGAAACGCUUGAAACCAGUGUUGCUUGCGAGUAAUCAGCCGCAUCUUUUGGUGAGGUGCACUUGCUCGUUGGCAGGUCAACAUCAGUUUGAUCCGGGAUAAAAAGCCAGGAGAAGGUAGCCCCUCGGGGUGUUAUAGCUUUUGGUUCUGUCUUGGGUUGGACUGAGGACUGCAGCGUUAUUUGGGUUACCGGUCGCCUUUCGAACGUGUUCUGCAGACAGCACGCUGACUGUAGAGCUCUGUAGGAAGCUCGGUCGGGAUUCCACACCAACGCUUAGGAUGUUGACGAAAUGGUUUUAAACGACCCGUCUUGAAACACGGACCAAGGAGUCUAACAUAUAUGCGAGUAUUUGGGUGGCAAACCCUUAUGCGUAAUGAAAGUGAACUUAGGUGGGAUCUUCGGUGCACCAUCGACCGGUCUGGAUUUUUUUGAUAGAUCUGAGUAAGAGCAUAUCUGUUGGGACCCGAAAGAUGGUGAACUAUGCCUGAAUAGGGUGAAGCCAGAGGAAACUCUGGUGGAGGCUCGUAGCGAUUCUGACGUGCAAAUCGAUCGUCAAAUUUGGGU
rnacentral:rRNA from 1 species